rnacentral:lncRNA from 1 species
GCAAGAGCUGGUGUUAAAGCUAGUAGUGAUUGGGUUAUGGAAAGUAUGGGUAAAGGGACUGAUAGUUAUGGUGUUACUACUGGUUUUGGUGCUACUUCUCAUAGGAGGACAAAGAAUGGUGGUGCUUUACAAAAGGAACUUAUUAGGUAAACCAUUUUCUAUCUAACUUAGCUUUGCUUUUUAGAUCAUUAAUAUAUGAGAUUUAUAUAUUCUGCGUGUGUGUUUCAACCUAUGUGAACCUAUUUGAUUUGUAUUCUAGAGUAUUGUUGUGUGUAAGUAUUAUAAUCAUAUAAGUAUCAUAGCAUAUUUAAUAAUUCAUCGAUUUUAAUUUGAUUGUUUAGUUUUGAUUCGAGAUUAAAAAAUUAUACGUAUCUUUUAAAUAUUGAUCUUAAAUUAAAAGUAUAUUGAAUAUAUCAAAAUGAAUUUGAAUUUUGCAGUGUUACAUAUGUCACAUGAAAAAAAAUUAAAAUUUAAAAAUUAUCGAAAAGGAAAAAGAUUUUUUCUUUUGCCGGGACUAAAAUAGAAAGUACCAGAAAUAAAUUGAAAGGGAGGGAGCAUCAUAAAUUUCAAAUAUUUUAUUAGCUAUUUAGGAUUGGUGAGAUUAGCUAUAAGGUUUGUUUAAAAACUAUCUUGUGUGGACAUCCUGUUUCUAUGAAUUUUGUGAGUAGGAAUCUAUAGCUUGGCCUAGUUUCUGAACAGUAGGAAAAAAGGAUGAAUAAUUCACUGAGGUUUUUGCUAAAAGUUUUGUCUUUAAGAAAUAAUAUUUCCGUCCCAAAUUACCCAUUCAAAUUGAGAUGACACAGUGAUUAAAAAAAUAAUUAAUAACAUGCCUAGUUUAUUAUAGUACCCCUAUUAAAUGAUAUUUAAAUUUUAAUUUGAAGAAAAAAUAAUUAAUGCAAAGGGUAAAAUAUGAAAUUUUUUUUGUCUCUUUUUGAUUAACGAAAAAAAGAUAAGUAAAUGGAAAAUAAAAUUAAAAAAUUUGGGAUGAAUAAUUUGAAACGAAGAAAUAGCUGCGUAUAUAUUUUUUAGGAAAAAGUAUUUAAUGUAGGUAUAAGAAAAUAGCUGGACUUAUGUAUGGCAACGAAUAAGUGGUACCAUCAAAACUGUUAUUUGGUGGUCAAGAAAUGGAAACCAAAAUUAUUUGAGACUAGAAUUAAAUUUUUGUAAUAAAAAACAUUAGGUGACUUUGUAAAUUGUCUAGAUUUUGGUGAGCAUCAGUAUCUAUAUAAUAAAUAAAAUAGUUCAGAUGCACUUAAAAAAUAAAAAAUAAAGGGAAAAGUGUGUGAGGUGUAAUUUUGUUGGCUGAGCUGGAGAGAUGAUUUGAGAGACAUGUGGGCACAUGUAAAUAGUUCAUUCUUUCAUAUAUUUUUGGUGAUGCUCAGAGUUGUUCGAUGUGCUAUCUUCUUACAUUAGAUUUACUUUAUUAUAGAGUAAAUGACAAAUUCCAAACAAUUUUUUUUCUCUUUUUGGGAAAUAGGUCACUUGUCUUAACAAAUAAAAAUUGUUCUUUUAGGCUCUGGCAAAAAGAGAUUUCCCAGAAAUCCUAACAAUGACCAUCAAAUUUUUCUUGAUGGACAUGAUAAUGACUUAUCUCACAUAAGCCCAUUCUUCUUUUUACUAGUAUUUACAUAAUGAAUUGCUUUAAUUAUUAUGACAUGUUGUGGGGCAUAUCUGAUUGUUGUUGUGGUUUGGUUUGGCAGAUUCUUGAAUGCAGGAGUUUUUGGCAAUGGAACAGAAUCAUGUCACACAUUGCCACAAUCAAGCACAAGGGCUGCCAUGCUUGUUAGGAUCAAUACACUUCUUCAAGGUUAUUCAGGCAUCAGAUUUGAAAUCUUGGAAGCAAUAACCAAGUUGAUUAACCACAAUGUCACUCCAUGUUUGCCACUCCGUGGCACAAUCACCGCGUCUGGUGAUCUUGUUCCGUUGUCCUACAUUGCUGGAUUACUUACUGGCAGGCCUAAUUCUAAGGCUGUUG